rnacentral:lncRNA from 1 species
UUCGUUCCAAAAAUCACGUUCCCGAAGGUUUCAUUCCGUUUGGACUCCGUUUGAUAUUCUUUUCUGCGAAACUCUGAAAUAGGCAAAAAACAUCAAUUCUGGGUUGGGCCUCCGGUUAAUAGGUUAGUCCCAAAAUAGUAUAAAAGUGUAUAAUAAAGCCCAUUAAUGUCCAAAACAGAAUAUAAUAUAACAUGGAACAAUAAAAAAUUAUAGAUACGUUGGAGACGUAUCAAGCAUCCCCAAGCUUAAUUCUUGCUCGUCCUCGAGUAGGUAAAUGAUAAAAAACAGAAUUUUUGAUGUGGAAUGCUACUUGGCAUAAUUUCAAUGUAAUUCUCUUAAUUGUGGUAUGAAUAUUCAGAUCCGAAAGUUUCAAGACAAAAUUUUAAUAUUGACAUAAAAAUAAUAAUACUUCAAGCAUACUAACUAAGCAAUUAUGUCUUCUCAAAAUAACAUGGCCAAAAGAAAGUUAUCCCUACAAAAUCAUAUAGUCUGGCUAUGCUCUAUCUUCACCACACAAAGUAUUUAAAUCAUGCACAACCCCGAUGACAAGCCAAGCAAUUGUUUCAUAAUUUUGAUGUUCUCAAACUUUUUCAAUCUUCACGCAAUACAUGAGCGUGAGCCAUGGACAUAGCACUAUACGUGGAAUAGAAUGGUGGUUGUGGAGAAGACAAAAAGGAGAAGAUAGUCUUGUUGGGAAUCGUAGCAUAAUUUAAAAAUUUUCUACGCUCACCAAGAUGCAUCUAUGGAGUCUACUAGCAACGAGGGGAAAGGAGUGCAUCUACAUACCCUUGUAGAUCGCGAGCGGAAGCGUUCCAAUGAACGUGGAUGACGGAGUCGUACUCGCCGUGAUCCAAAUCACCGAUGACCGAGUGCCGAACGGACGGCACCUCCGCGUUCAACACACGUACGGUGCAGCGACGUCUCCUCCUUCUUGAUCCAGCAAGGGGGAAGGAGAGGUUGAUGGAGAUCCAGCAGCACGACGGCGUGGUGGUGGAUGUAGCGUGUCUCGGCAGGGCUUUGCCAAGCUUCUGCGAGAGAGAGAGAGGUGUUGCAGGGGAGGAGGGAGGCGCCCAAGGCUGUAGGUUGCUGCCCUCCCUCCCCCCCUUUAUAUAGGCCCCCUGGGGGGCGCCGGCCCAGGGAGAUGGGAUCUCCAAGGGGGGGCGGCGGCCAAAGAGGGGGAAGGGUUGCCUUGCCCCCCAAGGCAAGGGGGAAGCUCCCCCCCUAGGGUUCCCAACCCUAGGCGCAUGGGGGAGGCCCAAGGGGGGGCGCCCCAGCCCACUAAGGGCUGGUUCCCUUCCACUUUCAGCCCACGGGGCCCUCCGGGAUAGGUGGCCCCACCCGGUGGAUCCCCGGGACCCUUCCGGUGGUCCCGGUACAAUACCGGUAACCCCCGAAACUUUCCCGGUGGCCGAAACUUGACUUCCUAUAUAUAAUUCUUCACCUCCGGACCAUUCCGGAACCUCUCGUGACAUCCGGGAUCUCAUCCGGGACUCCGAACAACUUUCGGGUUUCCGCAUACAUAUAUCUCUACAACCCUAGCGUCACCGAACCUUAAGUGUGUAGACCCUACGGGUUCGGGAGACAUGCAGACAUGAUCGAGACGCCUCUCCGGUCAAUAACCAACAGCGGGAUCUGGAUACCCAUGUUGGCUCCCACAUGUUCCACGAUGAUCUCAUCGAAUGAACCACGAUAUCGAGGAUUCAAUCAAUCCCGUAUACAAUUCCCUUUGUCAAUCGGUAUGUUACUUGCCCGAGAUUCGAUCGUCGGUAUCCCAAUACCUUGUUCAAUCUCGUUACCGGCAAGUCUCUUUACUCGUACCGCAAUGCAUGAUCCCGUGACCAACGCCUUAGUCACAUUGAGCUCAUUAUGAUGAUGCAUUACCGAGUGGGCCCAGAGAUACCUCUCCGUCACACGGAGUGACAAAUCCCAGUCUCGAUCCGUGCCAACCCAACAGACACUUUCGGAGAUACCCGUAGUGCACCUUUAUAGUCACCCAGUUACGUUGUGACGUUUGGCACACCCAAAGUACUCCUACGGUAUCCGGGAGUUGCACGAUCUCAUGGUCUAAGGAAAAGAUACUUGACAUUGGAAAAGCUCUAGCAAACGAAACUACACGAUCUUUUAUGCUAUGCUUAGGAUUGGGUCUUGUCCAUCACAUCAUUCUCCUAAUGAUGUGAUCCCGUUAUCAAUGACAUCCAAUGUCCAUAGUCAGGAAACCAUGACUAUCUGUUGAUCAACGAGCUAGUCAACUAGAGGCUUACUAGGGACACGUUGUGGUCUAUGUAUUCACACAUGUAUUACGAUUUCCGGACAAUACAAUUAUAGCAUGAACAAUAGACAAUUACCAUGAACAAAGAAAUAUAAUAAUAACCAUUUAUUAUUGCCUCUAGGGCAUAUUUCCAACAAGUCUCACAUCAACUAGGCGUAUCAACGGGCUAUGGAGAUACCCAUUAAUAGAUAUCAAUGUGAGUGAGUAGGGAUUGCCAUGCAACGGAUGCACUAGAGCUAUAAGUAUAUGCAAGCUCAACAAAAGAAACUAAGUUGGUGUGCAUCCAACUCGCUUGCUCACGAAGACCUAGGGCAUUUUGAGGAAGCCCAUCAUUGGAAUAUACAAGCCAAGUUCUAUAAUGAAAAUUUCCCACUAGUAUAUGAAAUUAAUAUCAUCGGAGACUCUCUAUCAUGAAGAUCAUGGUGCUACUUUGAAGCACAAGUGUGGUAAAAGGAUAGUAACAUUGUCCCUUCUCUCUUUUUCUCUCAUUUUUUUAUUUGGGACUUUUCUUUUUUUAUGUCGUCUUUUCUUUUUAUUUAGUCCAAAGUCUCAUCCCGACUUGUGGGGGAAUCAUAGUCUCCAUCAUCCUUUCCUCACUUGGGACAAUGCUCUAAAAAUGAUGAUCAUCACACUUCUAUUUACUUACAACUCAACAAUUACAACUCAAUACUUAGAACAAAAUAUGACUCUAUGUGAAUGCCUCCGGCGGUGUACCGGGAUAUGAAAUGAAUCAAGAGUGACAUGUAUGAAAGAAUUAUGAACGGUGGCUUUACCACAAAUACAAUUUCAACUACAUGAUCAUGCAAAGCAAUAUGACAAUGAUGGAGCAUGUCAUAGUAAACGGAACGGUGGAAAGUUGCAUGGCAAUAUAUCUCGGAAUGGCUAUGGAAAUGCCAUGAUAGGUAGGUAUGGUGACUGUUUUGAGGAAGGUAUAUGGUGGGUGUAUGAUACCGGCGAAAAGUGCGCGGUAUUAGAGAGGCUAGCAAUGGUGGAAGGAAGAAAAGUGUGUAUAAUCCAUGGACUCAACAUUAGUCAUAAAGAACUCAUAUACUUAUUGCAAAAAUCUACAAGUUAUCAAAGCAAAGUAUUACGCGCAUGCUCCUAGGGGGAUAGAUUGGUAGGAAAAGACCAUCGCUCGUCCCCGACCGCCACUCAUAAGGAAGACAAUCAAUAAAUAAAUCAUGCUUCGACUUCAUCACAUAACGGUUCACCAUACGUGCAUGCUAUGGGAAUCACAAACUUUAACACAAGUAUUUCUCAAAUUCACAACUACUCAACUAGCAUGACUCUAAUAUCGUCAUCUCCAUAUCUCAAAACAAUUAUCAAGUAUCAAACUUCUCAUAGUAUUCAACACACUCAUAAGAAUUUUUUUACUAAUCUUGAAUGCCUAUCAUAAUUAAAGCAAAUUACCAUGCUAUUUUGUAGGACUCUCAAAAUAAUCUAAGUGAAGCAUGAGAGAACAAUAGUUUCUAUAAAACAAAUCCACCACCGUGCUCUAAAAGAUAUAGAGCAAAAACUAUAUAACUCAAAAGAUAUAAGUGAAGCACAUAGAGUAUUCUAACCAUUUUAAUCAUGUGUGUCUCUCUCAAAAGGUGUGUACACCAAGGAUGAUUGUGGCAAACUAACAAACAAAGACUCAAAUAAUACAAGACGCUCCAAGAAAAACACAUAUCAUGUGGUGAAUAAAAAUAUAGCUCCAAGUAAAGUUACCGAUGGAAGUAGACGAAAGAGGGGAUGCCUUCCGGGGCAUCCCAAGCUUUGGCUUUUAGGUGUCCUUAGAUUAUCUUGGGGUGCCAUGGGCAUCCCCAAACUUAGGCUCUUGCCACUCCUUGUUCCAUAAUCCAUCAAAUCUUUCACCCAAAACUUGAAAACUUCACAACACAAAACUUAACAGAAAAUCUCGUGAGCUCCGUUAGCGAAAGAAAACAAAACACCACUUCAAGGUACUAUAAUGAACUCAUUCUUUACUUAUAUUGGUGUUAAACCUACUGUAUUCCCACUUCUCUCUGAUUUAUAAACUAUUUUACUAGCCAUAGAUUCAUCAAAAUAAGCAAACAACACAUGAAAAACAGAAUCUGUCAAAAACAGAACAGUCUAUAGUAAUCUGUAACUAACGCAAACUUCUGGAACUCAAAAAAUUCAGCCAAAAUAGGACGACCUAGACAAUUUGUUUAUUGAUCAGCAGAAAUUGGAAUAAAUAUUUUAUCACAUUCUGGUGAUUUUUAACAAUUAUUUUCGUGAACAGAAAGUUUCUGGAAUUUUCAGCAAGAUCAAAUAACUAUCAUCCAAGGAGAUCUUAUAGCUUAAACUUGGCACAAACACUAAUUAAAACAUAAAAACACAUCUAACCAGAGGCUAGAUCAAAUAUUUAUUCCUAAGCAGAAGCAAAAAGCAAAAAACUAAAAAUAAAAUUGGGUUGCCUCCCAACAAGCGCUAUCGUUUAACGCCCCUAGCUAGGCAUAAUAGCAAGGAUAGAUCUAGGUACUGCCAUCUUUGAUAGGCAAUCCAUAAGUGGCUUGUUGAGGAUAUGGACCUUAGAGUCACCCGCCAGGAGGGGCCGGGUUACUCAUAUGGUCGUUGCCAGAAGCCCGGAGCCAAGCUUGAAGACGAUGGGCCAGAGAUGGGCUUAAGACCCGGAUAUGGCUUAAGGCCCGUAGUUACAAUGCUUAUUAUGGUAGAACUUGUAGUGUAAGGCAAGAAUAGUUAAGAGUCUGAGCCGGACACUCUUAUGAGCCGGCCGGGACUCUGAGAACUGCUGGGCGUCAGCCUCCCUAUAUAAAGGGACGACCCGGUAGCGGUUUAGGGACAAGAACGACCUCGACGAAAGCCAGGCAUAGCAGUUAAGCUCCUUGGUCAUCGAAACCCUAAUCAAUACCACCGCAAACUGGACGUAGGCUUUUACCUUCACCGUAAGGGGCCGAACCAGUAUAAACCCUCGUAUUCCUUGUCCCACUUAACCCCUUCAAGCUUCCUAGUAGCGAUGGCUCCACGAUUAAGUCCUAGCUCGAGGACAUCUGCCGUGACAAUUCCACGACAGUUGGCGCCCACCGUGGGGCCAGCGCACGGUGGAUUUGAGUUCUUGAAGGGCAGCUUCGAAGGGCUCAAGGGAUACGCUGUGGGCCGGAUGACCAAGAGUCGUCGCGGCAAGCUUUACAUCGACGAUGCAGACUGGGGCCCCGAUGCCGGCUCAAUUGAGUACGGGUACCGGGUCCCCUUCGGCGGAAUUCAUGUUUUCAUCGGCAAGGUUGGUGAGCCGGGCCCUGAGCCGGAUCUCUGCACCGAUCUCAUCGAGGUGUCUCAGCGCGCACGACCCGCCCGGGCCCGGCCUGCCUUAAGGCAUGCUUUUGUGGGGUGUAUCCACGGAGGACUCUCUGAUCGAUCUGGAUCUGGUGAUGAGACGGCCGCCGGCUCUGACGGCGAGUCGGCCACCGGUGAGUCAAACUCGUUGUAUCAACUUCAAGGUGGCAGGCUCAUGGGUUGUUCUGAUGGUGACAGUAUUCCGGACCUAUUUGAGCCGCCAAGCCGGGUGGGAAUCUUUAUGGCCGAUGCACAGCCUGUUCAGAACCCCGCGGCUGGAGUAGGAAACCCGGUGCCUUCUCUGGCUCAGGUACUGAUGGAUCUCACGGACAAGAUGACGGCCCUGUUAACCGCCACGGUUGACCCGGCGGAUCAAGCUCAGCAUGAUGCGGAGGUGGCACAGUUAAGAUUGGAUCUAGUGAAAGCUAAGGAGGACCUCGCAGCGGAAGGGAUCAGGAUGGCUGCGGAGAGGGCGGCCCUCGAUGCCCAAACUCAGUUGAUCCAGGCGCAGUCCUUCCAACUCACGAUGGAUCAGAACGCGUCCAAUGAGGUCAUGAGAAGGAGGUAUCAAAAGACCCAAUCUCGGCUCCCGCCGGUUUACGAUCCACGCAACCUCUUCAGCACGCCAGGUGCAGGGUCUAGUAACCCGCCAGGGGUCAUAGCGCCCGGGUCUGGGCCCCCUAUUCAGCCACGAGUGAUGGGGCCUCCCCAGGUGCCCCCUGCCACACCUCAGUAUGUGCCAACACCCCCGGUUCAUUAUAAUAACCCGUUGGAGAACAUGGUUGCUGCGGCAGCAUGGCUGGCGGCUCUCCCAGUUGACGGCGACUCUCCGACGGCUAUUGAAACCCGGCGGGUCAGGGAACUCCUUCAGACAGCACUGGCGCAGCAAGAGGCGUACUCCUACAGCCGGGAUAGGAUCCACUCGACCCCUCGUCCGGGCCGGAGCCCGAGUUACAGCAGGCACAUGGUCUCAGCGACCGGCUCAAGCAACGUCCGACGCCAUGACCCGCCCCUGGCCACGGCCCGGUUUAUAACGGGGCCUAUCACGCAGCGGACCAAGACAGAGCGCGGCAAGAGGCGGAGCAGGUGCCUCAAUUGACGGCUUACCAGACCCCCCCGGCUUAUCCGACGACUUCCGUCGACGUGGGUAUCCCUACCAGGACGGGAGGUGUCCCCUGUUUAGUGCCGGCUAUCCGCAAUGAACGUUUACCCAAGGACUUCAAAGGCCCUAGAAAGGUGCCCAACUACACGGCUGACUUACAACCCGCAGCCUGGAUCGAGAGUUAUGAGAUGGCCAUGGAGCUACUGGAGGUCAGUGAGGCGGCAAUGGCCAAGUACUUCACCAUGAUGUUGGAUGGGACUGCCCGCACUUGGUUAAAAGGGCUACCACCAAAUUCCAUUGGGUCUUGGGCUGAGCUGAAAGCCCAUUUCAUCCAAAACUUCAAAGAUACCUGUAGGCAGUCUAUGUCAAUUGUGGAUUUGACUAACUGUAAGCAGCAGGAGGGUGAGUCUAUGACACAUUGGGUUCGCCGGGUUAAAGAGAUCAUACACUCGUCGGACAAGAUGGAUGCCGGCUCAGCAGUCUUAAUGCUGGAGCAAAAUUGUCGUUUUGUGCCCCUGAAGAUGAAACUCGGGCAGCUUAAGUGCGACUGCAGUGACAUGGGUACACUAAUGGCGGCUCUUGUCAAGUACGCCGAUUCUGAUGGUACCAAGGAUCCCCCUUCAGAUGAUGAAAGGACAGGGAAGGGAAAGAAGAAUGGCAAUGGCAAGGGUCCCCAGCAUAACCCGGGGAACCAAGGAGGAGGCAAGCGCAAGGCAGAUGGCAGCCUAGAGUUUGUAGCCAACGCCAGCGCACAAGGCAAUAACCAGCGACGCAAGGGGAGACCCCCUCCCCGAGGCGGCGGGUCAGGACCGACACUGGAGCAGCUGUUGAAUGAGCCUUGUCCAAGGCAUGGCUCUAGAGAGAAGCCAGCGACUCAUCUAUGGAAGGAUUGUGCAAUCAUGAAGGCCUUUAAGAACUACAAUGGCCCAGGCGGCGGCUCAGGCGCCGGCGGUUUUCAUGGCCCGGGCGGUGGCUCAAAUUCUAAUCCUCAGAAUGGUCAAGGGGGCUUUAAUCAGUAGUCUGGCCAGGGUCAUCAGCAGCAGCAGGGAGGUUAUCAGACCAAUCCAAAGCAGCUUAGCGGUGGACAAUAUCAUGUGUUUACCACCAGUCUGUGUAAACGAGAUCAGAAGCUUCAUAAAAGGGCAGUAAAUGCCGUUGAGCCGGCGGUUCCACGCUACUUGCGGUGGUCUGAACAGCCCAUAGUGUGGAGUAGGGAGGAUCACCCUCCCCGGGUGGAUAAUCCGGGUCACUUGGCCUUGGUAGUGGCUCCUCAGGUAGGAGGAUAUAAGUUCACUAAAGUGCUCAUGGAUGGAGGCAGCAGCAUCAACAUCCUCUAUUAUGAGACUUUCCGUCGUAUGGGGUUGAUUGAUAAAAACCUCAGCCAGUCCAACACUAUUUUCCACGGUGUGGUACCGGGUAAGUCGGCUUAUCCAGUCGGCAAGAUUGAAUUGGAAGUGGCCUUUGGAGAUGAGAACAACUACAGGAUGGAGAAAUUGACCUUUGAGGUGGUCAAGAUAAGGAGCCCGUACCAUGCUAUAUUUGGACGGCCGGCUUACGCCAAGUUCAUGGCACGGCCGUGUUAUGUGUGCUUACAGCUCAAGAUGCCGGGUCACAAUGGGACCAUUACGGUUCACGGCAGCCGGAAGGUGGCCUUGGAAUGUGAGGAAGGCGAUGCAGCUUAUGCAGAAUCUGUUUGUGCAACGGAGGAGUUGAAGUUUUACAAAGACAAUGUUGACCCAACAGAUAUGACCUCUCUGAAAAAGCCGACUACGGAAAAUGAGCCGGCGAUGAAAUUUAAGUCGGCUGAUGAAACUAAGCUCGUUGAUUUUGUCCCAGGAGAUUCAUCUCAGCAGUUUAGCAUCAGUGCAAAUCUGGAUCCGAAAUAGGAAGGCGCGCUCAUCGAGUUCAUCCGUGAGAAUAGGGACAUCUUCGCAUGGAAACCUUCUGACAUGCCAGGUGUACCUAGGGAACUCGCUGAGCACACUCUCAAUGUUGAUCCGAAAUUUAAGCCGGUCAGACAGUUCCUUCGGCGGUUUAAUGAAGAGAGGCGGAAAGCCAUUGGUGAAGAGGUGGCUCGGCUCUUGGCGGCCGGGUUUAUUGUUGAAGUCUUCCACCCAGAGUGGUUAGCUAACCCGGUGCUCGUACUCAAGAAGAACGGCACUUGGCGGAUGUGUGUAGACUACACGGACUUGAACAAGGCGUGUCCGGCUGAUCCUUUUGCCCUUCCCCGUAUUGAUCAAAUUAUUGAUGCUAUGGCCGGUUGUGCGCGUUUAAGUUUUCUGGACGCUUAUUCUGGAUAUCAUCAGAUUAAAAUGGUGGUUAAGGACCAGGAGAAGACGGCGUUCAUCACUCCCUUUGGAGCCUUCUGCUAUGUGUCCAUGCCCUUUGGACUCAAGUGUGCACAGGCGACUUAUCAGCGUUGCGUGCAGAACUGUCUUCAUAAACAGAUUGGGCGCAAUGUUCACGCCUAUGUGGACGAUAUUGUGGUUAAGUCCAUAAAGGAGGAAACCCUGAUAGAUGAUUUGAGAGAAACCUUUGAUAAUCUCCGGGUCUACAAGAUGAUGCUUAACCCGGCCAAGUGUGUCUUUGGUGUUCCCGCAGGCAAACUCUUGGGUUUUUUGGUUUCUGACAGAGGCAUUGAAGCUAACCCAGAGAAGAUCAAGGCCAUCACCUCCCUGGCUAAGCCGGCGUGUAUAAAUGACGUUCAGUGCUUGGCGGGUCGCAUCGCUGCAUUAAGCCGGUUUAUAAGCCGUCUGGGUGAGAAGGCCAUGCCAUUAUAUCAGUUGAUGAAAAAGACUGAUAACUUUGUCUGGAAUGAUGCAGCUAAUACAGCCUUCGAGGAUUUGAAGAAGCAGCUGGCAGAGCCUCCAGUCCUUGCUGCUCCGGUUGAUAAGGAGCCCUUAUUAUUAUAUGUAGCGGCGAACACACGAGCCGUCAAUGUGGCUAUUGUGGUGGAGCGCAAGGAGGAGGGUAAGGAGCAUCCGGUUCAGCGGCCGGUUUAUUAUGUCAGCGAGGUGCUCAUUGAGUCCAAGCAGCGGUACCCGCAUUGGCAGAAGCUUGUGUAUGGUGUGUUCAUGGCAAGCCGAAAACUUAAGCAUUAUUUUCAGGGUCAUCCCAUCACUGUCGUCAGUUCUGCCCCUCUUGGUGAUAUCAUUCAAAACAGAGAGGCCACAGGGAGAAUUGCUAAGUGGGCUAUAGAACUUGGACCCCAUGGUCUCAAAUACGUGCCACGCACUGCUGUUAAAUCUCAGGCCUUGGUGGAUUUCAUCAAUGAUUGGACAGAGUCGCAGGUGCCCGAGCGGAAGCCGGAUAACACAUAUUGGACUAUUUACUUUGAUGGGUCCAGGCAGUUGGAGGGCUCGGGGGCCGGAGUCGUGUUAGCUUCUCCUAAAGGUGACAAGUUCCAUUAUGUGCUACAGUUGCUGUUUCCUUGUACUAACAACGCGGCUGAGUACGAGGCCUUGCUCCAUGGUCUUCGGAUGGCUAAAGAGAUGAGCUUAAGCCGGGUAAGGUGCUUCGGCGACUCAGACUUGGUGGCUCAACAAGUAUCAGGGAAGUGGGAUUCCAAGGACCCUCUCAUGGCGGCUUAUCGCCGCGAGGUUGAUGCCAUUGCUGGGCAUUUUCAGGGUUACCAGGUGGAACACAUCGACCGCAGGAAGAACGAGGCGGCGGAUGCUUUAAGCCGGCUAGGCUCUCAGCGAAAGCCGGUGCCGCCUAACACUUUCCUGGACGUCCUGUAUAGCCCUUCUGUUAAGUUGCCUACAGAGGAAGACUUGGCUGUCCCUGACCCGGAGGCACGACUGGUGGCGGCUCUCCAUAUCAUACCAGACUGGACAAUGCCGUAUCUGGCUUACAUGACCCGGGGCGAGUUGCCCGAGGAUGAAACCUUGGCCAGGCAAAUAACCCGGUGGGCUAAGUCAAUGAUUGUUAUCAAUGGGGAAUUGCAUCACCGCAGUGUGACGGGAGCGUUUCAGCGUUGUGUUUCCCCUGAGGAAGGUCAAGAAAUCUUGCGUGAGGUUCAUGAAGGGGAUUGUGGCCAUCACGCCGGCUCAAAGUCUCUUGUGGCCAAGGCUUUUCUUCAUGGUUUCUAUUGGUUGACGGCUCAUGCUGAUGCAGAGGACUUGGUCAGUAAAUGUGAUGGUUGCCAAAGGUUCUCGCGACGGGCUCACAUACCGGCUCAAGAGCUGAGGAUGAUCCCAAUUACUUGGCCCUUUGCGGUCUGGGGGCUUGAUAUGGUUGGGCCUUUCAAAAGGUCCAAGGAUAAGAAGACCCACCUUUUGGUGGCAGUUGACAAGUUUACCAAGUGGGUUGAAGCGGAGCCCGUUAGCAAGUGUGAUGCAGCCACGGCGGUUCAGUUUAUGAAAAAGGUGAUCUUUCGCUUUGGUUUUCCGCACAGUAUUAUCACUGACAAUGGCACCAAUCUCUCCAAAGGCGCCAUGGAAGAAUUUUGUCAACGAGAGCAUAUCCGACUUGAUGUUUCCUCAGUAGCUCAUCCUCAAUCCAAUGGUCAAGCUGAGAGAGCUAAUCAGGAGAUUCUGAAGGGCAUCAAGCCCCGGCUUUUGGUCCCUUUGCAACGAACGCCGGGUUGUUGGGUGGAGGAGUUGCCCUCCGUGUUAUGGAGUAUCAACACUACUCCUAACAGGUCUACGGGCUUCACGCCUUUCUUCAUGGUUUACGGGGCAGAAGCAGUCCUCCCCAGUGACAUCCGUCAUGACUCACCACGAGUGGCGGCUUAUGUUGAGGUGGAUAAUGAGCAGGCGCGCCAAGAUGCUCUUGACUUGCUGGACGAACAGCGUGAUGUGGCAGCAGCCCGUUCAGCGAUUUACCAACAAGACCUGCGCCGUUAUCAUAGCCGCCGGGUUAAAUCCCGGGUCUUUCAGGAAGGGGAUCUGGUGCUCCGGCUUAUCCAAGAUCAAACUGAUACGCACAAACUAUCCCCGCCUUGGGAAGGGCCCUUUGUGGUCAGCAAGAACUUGCACAACGGGUCGUAUUACGUCAUUGACGUCCGGGAGCACAAAGAUUCACGUAAGUCGGAGGAAGAGACCCGUCGGCCGUGGAACAUAGCUCAGCUUCGGCCUUACUACACUUGAGCCACCGGCUUUCAUAAUGUACAUAUUUCUCUCAGCCAUGUAUAUAUUAUGAUAAAGCAAUAAAGCAGGACCGCUGUCCUUUUUCUCCUCCAAAUGUGCAUGUGUUUUCUUUGCAAGAUCAACAUGGUAACUUGAAGGAGGAUCCGGCUCAUGAUCGUAUUCGAAUCUAGCCGCAGGUAAUAAGGUCACUUGGGGGCUUCCUGUUCAAACAUGGGUCGUAUUCGAACCAAAGAGAACAUAGCUGUCGAUACCCAUUUGAUUGGCAAAGUGCCGAGCUCAUUGGGAGGUUUUCUCUGAUCAUAUUUGAAUCAUAGUUUAACCCCUUUGAGAACCAACGUGGAUCGUAUUUGAAUCAGCGUCGUUAAACAAUUCUUAAAAUCACUUGGGGGCUUCCUGUUCAAACAUGGGUCGUAUUCGAACCAAAGAGAACAUAGCUGUCGGUACCCUCUUGAUUGGCAUCGCCACACCCACUGGGGGCUAUAUGAUCGUAUCCGAAUCUUAGCUUAACCCCUUUGGGCCGGGUCUCUGGUCGAAUUCGAACCGGAAGCCCCCAAGUUCUUCUGCUUUAUCACAAGAUUUCUCUGAUUAUGUCAAGGUGUGUACAGCCAGGUCUCGCUUGGCCGGUUUAAAUUUUGAUUUCUAGUGUUGUUUCGGCACAAUAGGUGUCAUUAAAACAGAUACACCAGAGUUAAGGUACCACCCUUCUUACCCGGGUUAUCUAAACCGGAAAGGCGCUGGCAGGCCGCUAAGUGCGUCAUCACGGCUAUAUUAAAGACAUGAUUAAGGGUCAAUCUUUUUGAUUCAUAUCCGGGUUAUAUAUCUAAAACCGAUGAUUCUCAGCGCGGUAAGCCGCCCAGAGACUUGUGAUUUGUCCUUGUAUGCAGGAUAGUUCAAGGCAAUUAUUUGAGACUAAGGAGAAUGAAUGACCCGGAGAAAUAUCAAAGAGACAACUUCAAUAGGCUUCAGCAUUCAAUAUGUGCACGAUGGCACGGCAAAGAUAAACUGUUGCACCUACUCUAUUACAAGACUCAUCGAGUCCAAAAGGGUGGAGCAUUGUUUGGUAAACCGGCUGCAGAAGUUAAGACGCUUGCUGGGUGGAAGUCUCCGGCUCAUCUCUUCCUUCUCCUCCGGCUGUCCCCAAGGUCUGGAAGGUCGACGACUUCCAGUCGAUACCGCUCAGCGCUUCGAAUUGGGCUUCCUCGUCAAUUAACCCGGCCGGGUCAAUCUCCGGGGCAAAGGUGUGCUGACGAGCCGGCGGAAUUAAACUCAGAGCUUCAUAGCGAGGGGUUGGAAUCCUCUGAUUUUCCGCAUUAUAACCCAGCUGGUACUUGGUCAGAUCCGUGUCGUUUCCAAUAAGAGCCGCCACCGGGCGCACGAUCUUCACGCAGGCGGCGAAGUCUUUUUGGUCGAAAGUCGUGCCAUCCUCCUUCAGACUUGGAUAGCCGAGGGCGAUGUCUGCCGGGUCCAGCUCCGGCAGGAAAGCCUUGGCCCGGCUCAGCGCGGCGAUCGCUCCGGAUCUCGCAGAGGCUCGUCACAGCUCUUGGAUACGUUGCGGAAGGACGGCGAGCCGGCGAAGAACCUCCGCCAAGUGAGUCGGCACCUCGUUGGAUAAGGCUACCACAGCUAAGGCACGUUGUGACCCGGUGUAGAGUUGCUCCACCAGGGUGUACACGGCCUUUAGCUUGGUUACCACACUCUGGUUGAGGUUGGCACUUCUGGAACCUGUUUCAUAGAGCAGGACAAGCCGCCGACCAGGGUGAGUUAUGAGGCAUUAAAAUUUAAAUUGAAUAAAAGCCGGUGGAUGACUUACCAAAGAUUGCAGCAACCAUUUGAGACACUUGGCGCUUUAAGCCGGAGAGUUCGGCCGUCUUCUCUGACAGGGCCCUCUCCGCCUGAUCAGCCCGGUUCACCAAUGCGGCCUUUUCUUCGGCCCACGCUUUUCGUUCAGCGUCAAACUCUGUCUUCAGCUUCUCUUGUGAGGCGAUGCUGGACACGAACUUGGCAUUUGCCUUCUGGGUCUCCAUCUCUUGCAUCUUCAGCCGGUUCUUGAGGUCAGCGAGGUCAGCCUCAAGUUUCUUGCCAGCAGCCUGUAUAAAUGUCCGGGUUAUGACAUGCACAGUUGCUAUACAAAUUUAAAGUCCCAAGUGUUUUCCAAGCAAAGACACUUGGCACUUGGGGGCUAAUGCAUGUUCAAUGUUUCUAUUUACCAAUUUCCGGUUCAUGGAAGCAAGCCGGAAGAUAAGUCCCAAGUGUUUUCUAAAGCAAAGACACCUGGCACUUGGGGGCUAAUGUGUAUCGAAGGCUCUUAUCUACAAAUUACCGGUUUAAUUUGUAAAGCCGGAACUUCAGUCUACAGCAUAUUCAAUCAUAAGUUGUUGACUUAAGGGCUAGCAUGGUAAAAGUAACUAGGCAGUAAGUAAGAGGACAGAAGAUAAUACCUCAGAUUUCUGCUGGAUCUGGGUCACCAUGGCAACCUCUGCGUCCCAGCUCUUGUGCACUUGGUUGAUGUAGCCGGAGACAAGCUCUCCGAUGCUCAGGUUGGCAUAGUCAGUUAGAUCCAGACUGACCCGGUGGGGCUGCAGUACUUCCCCCUUGGCAGAGCACUUGGCCAGUGCCGUAGGCCUCCCCGGCUCAACGAAUUCCGUCCGGGUGAUUUCCACGUCCGGUUGAUUUCCACGUCCGGGUCAUUUGUUGGCUGAGCCGAGCCGGAGGCCUCCGGGUCAGCAGAAGCUUCUACAGGUGCCUUGUCGAUUGGAGCGGUGGCUUCGGGGGCGGAGGCAGCUGGCGGUUCUUGAACCGUCACCUCCGGUUCAGGCAAAUCCGGCUCUCCGGCCGACUUGGUUUUCUUCGCCCUCUUGGUGAGCUUUGCCUGGGCACUGAAAGAAUAACAAAGGUUAGUACAAAAAGUAUGAGCAAAGAUCAGAACAACAUGAGAUGGUUAUCAUUACCCGGGCACGGUCUUGAAAGUUGGCAGAUUCGACUGCAUAGAAUCGCCGGAAGAAGGGGAAGUCUCCUGAUAAUUUGAAUCAGAGGAAUUAAGCGGUUGGCGUAUAACACCCGCAAAAGGAUGAAAAGGGUACAAUUUUGUAGUCACUCGGUCCGACGUUUCCUUGAUGCAUCAGGUAACCCGGAGGAGAGGUCAGCGUCCUUGUUGGUCCGGGUAUGCCGCCGGCUUUCAUGAACCUGUCGCUUCAAAAUAAAUUGAGGAUCUUGGUAAGCUAAAGGAUGGGAAAAGCUUACUUUCCGGGUUACUCUUCGGGUUUUCGGCCGUGGCAAGGGCUCCGAGUCGGAGGAAAGUAUUGUUACCUCUUCAACCACCGGGUUACUGGCUCCGGUGUCCUCCUGUUGAUAAACAACAUUGAUAAGGCGGACAGAACUAAAGCAACAAGUAUAACAAGAGCUUACAGGUUUAGGAAUUACCUCAGACUCGGAGCUGUCACUCAGCUGCAACAGCUCCGAAGCAGUGGGCCUACUUCCCUUCUUACGGGGAGCGGCUUUCUUGGCGGCUUUCUUCGCCUUUCUGGCCUUUUUGGCGGCGUCAUGGUCAUACUUGACCCGCCAGAACUUGUCAUCAGCCUGAAAAAUACAAUGAUGAAUUUUUAAAACGGUUCAGAUGAAAGUUAUAUGCAGGAGAAGAUAAAAUGUUAAAGUCAGCGGCUUACCGCUGGGGCUGGGUUGGUCUUGCAGAAGGGGGCUAACCCGGUCCUCCCGCAGUCUGCCAGGCUCUCGUUCAGAAGAGCGUUGGUCAUAUCUUCUGCAACGUCUUCAGGAAGAUCGUUGCGGCUGUGUCUCUGAGGGUCAUCCUUUCGGCCUGUGUACUCGCACAUUAAGCCGUGGCGGCGGCUCAAUGGGAUCACCCGCCACGAUAUCCAGACCCGGACCAGAUCGAUCCCAUUCAGACCAUUGCCCAGGAGAGCCUUGAUCUUGUUGAUGGUGGGGAGCAGAGGUUGGCGCUCCGCUCGAGUCAGCUUGUCUGACAGUGGGUGAGUCGGCUCCAGACGCGAGGGGCGAAAGCCGGGCAACGGACUCUCGUCAGCCGGCGACGUGUCUUGGCAGUAAAACCACGUCAGAUUCCAGUCCUUGGGAUGGCUGGGCGGCUCUGCGUAAGGGAAGAGGCAGUCCCUACGCCGCUGGAUGGAGAUGCCACCUAGCUCCAGACUUGGCCCAUUGGCGCACUCAUUCUGACGGUUCAAGUAAAAAAGCUCUCUGAAGAGCAGCAGACUAGGUUCUUCUCCAAGGUAAACCUCGCAGAAUACUUGGAAGUUGCAGAUGUUGGACACUGAGUUGGGUCCUAUGUCCUGAGGCCGCAAGUCGAAGAAGUUUAGAACGUCUCUAAAAAACUUUGAGCCGGGCGGUGCGAAGCCCCGGCUCAUGUGAUCCGCAAAAAUCACUACCUCCUCGUCCUUUGGCUGGGGUCUCUCUUCUGACGGGUCAGGGGCACGGUAGGACAUGACGUCCUUCUUGGGCAGAUAUCCAGACUUAACAAAAUCUGCUAGUGUCUCACUGGUGACAUUGGACCUCAUCCAGUUGCAAGUGAUGGAGGCUUUGGGAGCUUUGGGAGGCAUGGUGAAAGUCGGCAGUCUAUGACAAAAAGGAAAACGUCCGGAUUAAUUAUAAGCCGGGGGAAAUCUACAGCUCAAAGUCAAGGUGGCGGCUUAUGAAGGAGACUAAUGGUAUAUACCUAAGUACAGCGGGUUAUUUAAGCCGCAGGGGUAUUCAGAAUAAUUUGAUUGUCUACGGCCUUAUCACAGCCAAGCCGGAGGAUUCUACGGAGCAUGAUUUUCUUUAACCCGGAAGGUUCUAUGGCGUGUGGUUUCUUUAAGCCGGAAAUGUAAACUGCCGUGAUUCAAUGGUUGCAGUUUUUUACUAAGUGUGGUAAAACAGGUUUCACACUUUGCAGUAACUAUUUCGGAUCAAAAUGGUCGGGCGAAAGAAACGUUUCUAGACCUAGAAACAGAAGCGAGGGAGUUCUUGGGCUCGAACAAGGCUCCUAUGCAGUAAAAAGAGGGUUGCUUGCAUGUAAAAUGGGUGCUAAACCGUCACCGCAAUAGUUCUAUGCAGGUCUAAGAUCAAAAGGAGGCAGUAAAAAUCAAAUCUACUAAGGCCCGCGAUGAACUACGAGGAACACGGAUGAACUACUCGAACCCUACUGCAGAUCUGUUCUACAGGGCAGAAGAAACUUACAGGGGCUGGUGAGUCGCGGAGGUCGUCGCGUUUCUCUGGUCAAAUCAGGGUGAUGCAGCGGCCUGAGCUGGUGACGACGAGAAGACCCGCGGCGGCGGCAGCAGAGCUUGAGCAGGGGAGCAGUGGCGCGAGGAAGAAGACGAAGAAGAGAGAAGUGGCUGAAAGCCCGUCGGGCCGGCCUAUUUAUAAGGGAGAGCUCAUAAGUGGGCGCGAGAAUCAAGGAGACCACGGCGUGGUUAUCUCCUCACGAGACGCCUCGAUUUUCGGGAUGACAGUAAAUGUAAAGAUCCGUUGCGGAUCUGGCAGAGUAAAAAACGGGCUUAAUGGAAGAUGACGUCACGGCGGAUUAUCCGGAGUCCAGAGGAUGAUGUCACGCCGGGUUAUGGUCUUCACACAAUUGUAAGCCGGCGAUUUUCUGUCGAAGGGAUUGAAGAUUGACAUGAGUCGGCUCAAAUCAAUCUGGGGCCUAAUGUUGAGGAUAUGGACCUUAGAGUCACCCGCCAGGAGGGGCCGGGUUACUCAUAUGGUCGUUGCCAGAAGCCCGGAGCCAAGCUUGAAGACGAUGGGCCAGAGAUCGGCUUAAGACCCGGAUAUGGCUUAAGGCCCGUAGUUACAAUGCUUAUUAUGGUAGAACUUGUAGUGUAAGGCAAGAAUAGUUAAGAGUCCGAGCCAGACACUCUUAUGAGCCGGCCGGGACUCUGAGAACUGCUGGGCGUCAGCUUCCCUAUAUAAAGGGAUGACCCGGUAGCGGUUUAGGGACAAGAACGACCUCGACGAAAGCCAGGCAUAGCAGUUAAGCUCCCUGGUCAUCGAAACCCUAAUCAAUACCACCGCAAACUGGACGUAGGCUUUUACCUUCACCGUAAGGGGCCGAACCAGUAUAAACCCUCGUAUUCCUUGUCCCACUUAACCCCUUCAAGCUUCCUAGUAGCGAUGGCUCCACGACUAAGUCCUAGCUCGAGGACAUCUGCCGUGACAAUUCCACGACAUGGCUCUCAUAAUAGAUUCAUAAGGUAAUUUUAUCUUCUUUCUAGGGAAGUGUUCCAUGCCUUUCCUUAACGGAAAUUGGAAUCUAAUAUUCCCUUCCUUCAUAUCAAUAAUUGCACCAAUCGUUCUAAGGAAAGGUCUACCAAGAAUAAUAGGACAUGAAGGAUUGCAAUCUAUAUCAAGAACAAUAAAAUCUAUAGGCACAUAAUUCCUAUUUGCAAUAAUAAGAACAUCAUUAAUUCUUCCCAUAGGUUUCUUAAUGGUGGAAUCCGCAAGGUGCAAGUUUAGAGAGCAAUCAUCAAAAUCACGGAAACCUAGCAAAUCACACAAAGUUUUUGGAAUCGUGGAAACACUAGCACCCAAAUUACACAAAGCAUAGCAUUCAUGAUUUUUAAUUUUAAUUUUAAUAGUAGGUUCCCAUUCAUCAUAAAGUUUUCUAGGGAUAGAAACUUCCAACACAAGUUUUUCUUCAUAAGAUUGCAUUAAAGCAUCAACGAUAUGUUUAGUAAAAGCUUUAUGUUGACUAUAAGCAUGUGGAGAAUUUAGCACGGAUUGCAACAAGGAAAUACAAUCUAUCAAAGAGCAAUUAUCAUAAUUAAAUUUUUUGAAAUCCAAAAUAGUGUGUUCAUUAAUAUCUAGAGUUUUGAUCUCUUCAAUCCCACUUUUACCAAUUUUUGCAUCAAGAUCUAAAGACUCCGAAUUUUUGGAACGCCUUCUAGGUAAAGGUGGAUCAUAUUCAGUCCCAUCAUUAUCAAGAUUCAUAUUGCAAAACAAAGAUUUAAUAGGGGACACAUCAAUAACUUUUAGGUCUUCAUCUUUAUUUUCAUAGAAACUAGAAGAACACGCUUUCACAAAAUCUUUCUUAGCACGCAUCCUAGCGGUUCUUUCUUUGCACUCAUCAAUGGAAAUUCUCAUGGCUUUGAGAGACUCAUUGAUAUCAUGCUUAGGUGGAAUAGAUCUAAGUUUCAAAGAAUCAACAUCAAGAGAAAUUCUAUCAACGUUCCUAGCCAAUUCAUCAACUUUAAGCAAUUUUUCUUCAAGCAAAGCAUUGAAAUUCUUUUGCGAAUUCAUAAACUCCUUAACACUAGUCUCAAAUUCAGAAGGCAUCUUAUUAAAAUUUCCAUAAGAACUGUUGUAGGAAUUACCAUAAUUAUUAGAGGAAUUACUAGGAUACUGCCUAGGAUUAGAGUUUCCUCUAUACGCGUUGUUACCAAAAUUAUUCCUACAAAAAAAAUUCACAUCCAUAGAUUCAUUAUUAUUCUCAAUCAAGGUAGACAAAGGCAUAUCAUUAGGAUAAGAAGAAACACUUUUAUUAGCAAAUAAUUUCAUAAGUUCAUCCAUCUUUCCACUCAAAACAUUAAUUUCUUCUAUCGCCUGCACUUUUUUAUUAGUGGAUCUUUCGGUGUGCCAUUAAGAAUAAUUAACCAUAAUAUUAUCUAGGAGUUUAAUAGCUUCUCCUAAAGUGAUUUCCAUAAAAGUGCCUCCCGCGGCCGAAUCUAAAAAAUUUCGAGAAGCAAAAUUCAAUCCGGCAUAAAAAAAUUGUAUAAUCAUCCACAAAUUCAAACCAUGUGUAGGGCAAUUACGUAUCAUUAAUUUCAUCCUCUCCCAAGCUUGUGCAACAUGUUCAUGAUCAAGUUGCUUAAAUUCAUAAUAUCGUUUCUAAGAGAGAUGAUCUUAGCGGGAGGAAAAUACUUAGAGAUAAAAGCAUCUUUACACUUAUUCCAAGAAUCAAUACUAUUUUUAGGCAAAGACGAAAACCAAGCUUUAGCACGACCUCUAAGCGAAAAAGGAAAUAUCUUCAAUUUAACAAUAUCAUUGUCCACAUCUUUCUUCUUUUGCAUAUCACACAAAUCAACGAAGCUAUUUAGAUGGGUAGCGGCAUCUUCACUAGGAAGGCCGGCGAAUUGAUCUUUCAUGACAAGAUUCAACAAAGCGGCAUUAAUUUCACAAGAUUCAGUAUCGGUAAGAGUAGCAAUCGGAGUGCUAAGAAAAUCAUUGUUGUUGGUAUUGGUAAAGUCACACAAUUUGGUAUUAUCUUAAGCCAUCGUGACAAGCAAGCAAUCCAACACACGAGCAAACAAGAAGCAAGGGAAAAAAGAGGCGAACGGAAAAGAGAGGGCGAAUAAAACGGUAAGGGUGAAGUGGGGGAGAGGAAAACGAGAGGCAAAUGGCAAAUAAUGUAAUGCGGGAGAUAAGGGUUUGUGAUGGGUACUUGGUAUGUUGACUUUUGCGUAGACUCCCCGGCAACGGCGCCAGAAAUCCUUCUUGCUACCUCUUGAGCACUGCGUUGGUUUUCUCUUGAAGAGGAAAGGGUGAUGCAGUAAAGUAGCAUAAGUAUUUCCCUCAGUUUUUGAGAACCAAGGUAUCAAUCCAGUAGGAGGCCACGCACGAGUCCCUCGCACCUACACAAACAAAUAAAUCCUCGCAACCAACACAAUAAAAGGGUUGUCAAUCCCUUCACGGUCACUUACGAGAGUGAGAUCUGAUAGAUAUGAUAAGAUAAUAUUUUUGGUAUUUUUAUGAUAAAGAUGCAAAGUAAAGAAAGCAAAAUAAAAACGGCGACAGAAAUAGCUUGUUGUUGGGAGAUUAAAUAUGAUGAAAAAUAGACCCGGGGGCCAUAGGUUUCACUAGUGGCUUCUCUCGAGAGCAUAAGUAUUACGAUGGGUAAACAAAUUACUGUUGAGCAAUUGACAGAACUGAGCAUAGUUAUGAGAUCUAGGUAUGAUCAUGUAUAUAGGCAUCACGUCCGUGACAAGUAGACCGACUCCUGCCUGCAUCUACUGCUAUUACUCCACACAUCGACCGCUAUCCAGUAUGCAUCUAGAGUAUUAAGUUCAAAAGAACAGAGUAACGCCUUAAGUAAGAUGACAUGAUGUAAAGGGAUAAACUCAUGCAAUAUGACAUAAACCCCAUCUUGUUAUCCUCGAUGGCAACAAUACAAUACGUGCCUUGCUGCCCCUACUGUCACUGGGAAAGGACACCGCAAGAUUGAACCCAAAGCUAAGCACUUCUCCCAUUGCAAGAAAGAUCAAUCUAGUAGGCCAAACCAAACUGAUAAUUCGAAGAGACUUGCAAAGAUAACCAAUCAUACAUAAAAGAAUUCAGAGAAGAUUCAAAUAUUGUUCAUAGAUAAACUUGAUCAUAAACCCACAAUUCAUCGGUCUCAACAAACACACCGCAAAAGAAGAUUACAUUGAAUAGAUCUCCACAAGAGAGGGGGAGAACAUUGUAUUGAGAUCCAAAAAGAGAGAAGAAGCCAUCUAGCUAAUAACUAUGGACCCAAAGGUCCGAGGUAAACUACUCACACAUCAUCGGAGAGGCUAUGGUGUUGAUGUAGAAGCCCUCCGUGAUCGAUGCCCCCUCCGGUGGAGCUCCGAAAAAGGUCCCAAGAUGGGAUCUCACGGGUACAGAAGGUUGCGGCGAUGGAAUUAAGUUUUUUGCUCCGUAUCUGGUAGUUUGGGGGUACGUAGGUAUAUAUAGGAGGAAGAAGUAUGUCGGUGGAGUAACGUGGGGCCCACGAGGGUGGAGGGCGCGCCUCCCUACCUCGUGCCUUCCUGGUUGAUGUCUUGACGUAUGGUCCAAGUCCUCUGGAUCACGUUCGUUCCAAAAAUCACGUCCCAAAGGUUUCAUUCCGUUUGGACUCCGUUUGAUAUUCUUUUUCUGCGAAACUCUGAAAUAGUCAAAAAACAGCAAUUCUAGGCUGGGCCUCCGGUUAAUAGGUUAGUCCCAAAAAUAGUAUAGAAGUGUAUAAUAAAGCUCAUUAAUGUCCAAAACAGAAUAUAAUAUAGCAUUGAACAAUCAAAAAUUAUAGAUACGUUGGAGACGUAUCAGUGAGGCGCUCGGUGAUCUGGCCGGAGAGGUUGAGUUGGAGGAGCCAGAGGAGGCCAUGGUGGGAGGUUUCUGGCAAUGGAGAAACUAGAUGAGAUAAAAGAGGUAGGCUCUGAUUACCAUGUGAGAGAACGUCAUACCCUGCCUAGGGCGACGGCUUCGUGUUAUAUAGGGUCGGGGCGCAACUCCCGCACAACGUACAGAGGUUGAUUACAUCGUUGGGAUCCUGACUUGAGACCCAAGGGAUAGACUAGAGAGAUAGAGAUAGUUACAAUAGAUAAGAGAGAAUCACAACUACCCUAGUCUACAGCUUCGGUUGACGUGGACUCUUGGUCGAACCCAUGCGUCAACUCUGUCGUGGUAGAUACAUUGCUUAACAAAGGCAACACCUGACCGGACUUUCUAGAUUAACAGAAUAGAGAACGUGUACUUUUUAUUAGGGGGAUAAUCGGAUAAAGCAUAUAGUAUCUGCAAACGACUUGGUGUAUAGGGUGAGCAGUAUAUUCUUCUUUCCAAGUAUUGCUCAUCCACAACAGCCAUCAUGCUUUUCUUUAAAAUGGUUCCAGCUUUUCACCUCAUUAAACAAAAUCUUCCUCGACAUACAUCCAGCCAUCAUGACAGCUUCAAUAUAAAUUAUCUGAUAGAUCCAUGGGAUCGUGUAGGGUAGGAUUAGAUCCGGUGAACCUACCUUCUGCUUGUCCAGUCGAGGAACUCCCGGUGCCGGCCAUGGUGACGGUGGCCGGUGAUGGCAGAGAGUGGGCGAGGUGGUGGAGCUUCCCGUGAGCACCGCGCUAACCCUAGAUCGAUAGGGAUUGUAGGUGGGGAUUGUGGCAGCGAUUAACCUCGUGAGUCGUGCCCCGACCCCACCUCUGUUUAUAUAGCGCGGGUCACAAGGGCCCACCAACCAUGGUUUGGUUGGGCGCCCCCGAUCAGAGCGCGAGUCAGGGGCCCGUUCGACCCGUUGGGUUCGAACGGGAGAGAGGUCAACCUAAACAUUAUCUAGUUAGAACAAGACUCGAGGAUCUACUCCCUCCUUUUCUAAAUAUAAG